UCCCGUCUGGCUCAGUUGGUAGAGCAUGGUGUUCGCAACGCUAGGGUUGUGGGUUCCAUUCCCACGGGGGAC
rfam:Salmo salar isolate Sally breed double haploid chromosome ssa04, whole genome shotgun sequence.